rnacentral:rRNA from 1 species
GACGUAGGAGGCGAGCGUUAUCCGGAAUUACUGGGCGUAAAGGGCAAGUAGGCGGCGCAGCAAGUCAGUUGUGACAGGUUCCGGCUCAACUGGGAGAGGACGACUGAGACUGUUACGCUAGAGGACAGGAGAGGGGAGUGGAAUUCCUUGUGUAGCGGUGGAAUGCUCAGAUACAAGGAAGAACACCAGUGGCGAAGGCGGCUCUCUGGCCUGAUCCUGACGCUGAAGGGCGAAAGCUAGGGGAGCGAACGGGCUUAGAUACCCCGGUAGUCCUAGCUGUAAACGGUGGGUACUAGGUAUUGGAGGUGAGAACACUUUCAGUGCCGAAGCGAACGCGUUAAGUACCCCGCCUGGGGACUACGGCCGCAAGGUUAAA